rnacentral:lncRNA from 10 species
CGACAGGACUCCCUCUCACAUGGACUGCUGAGCAGAGCACUGUGAACUGAGGGUACAGGCAGCGCUCCCCCAUUCUAAUGUGUGUGCCAGGAGAGGUGGCCAGGUGCUCCUGCUGAGGGAGGCCUGCUGCAUGUCCUAAACCCUGAGCUAUUGUUUCUGGGCCUGGUCUUGCAGUCCUGUUUACUCUAUGAGCUACACAAAAGGCCUACAACAAAGUCCCUUUUGGCUUAAGUUAGCCAGCUUUGGUUCCGUCACUUAACCUAUUGACUUAGCCGUUGUGAAAGUUCCUGGCAGGUAGAAAGAUGGCGGGAGGCAGUGGACAAUGUUAGUGGAGGGGCCUGCCGAAGAGGUGUCUGGGAGAAGAGAAGGCCUGAACUGUGAAUUGAAUAAAACUAAGGGACCUUUUUGGACCAGCAAAAACAAGGCUCAGCAGCAGGAAGAAGGGGAAAUAGGGAUUCCAUAAGCCAAGCAGUUGGCACAUUGAAGUCCCUAAGGGGGCAAGGGAUGUCAAAGAAACAGGACAAGAUGUUGCUCUGUACUUGAGGAUUUGGAAACUGAAAAAAUGAGAAACCGAAAGAGGAAAACAUCCAAGGACUCAGUCAGGACUCCACCAAUGGUCACAGCAAAACAGUACUUUACAGGCACCCCUUAAAAGUGAAACAAAAAUUGUUUCCAGGACACUCUGGACAACAGAAGUCAGUAUUCAUUUACCGUUUCGUUCAUUCAUUCAGCUUCUAUGCAUCUGCUAAGCACCUGCCAUAGGCUGGACAUCGAGCUAGAUGCGGAGAUCACACCACCGUCUCUCCCCACACAUUAUUUGUCAUCCAACAAGGAAGAGGGAUGAGAAGACAAGAUCAUCACAGCCAGAGAAGCAGCAUUAUUUACAAUAGCCGAAAAAUGGAAGCAACCUAAGUACCCAUCAGCGAAUGAAUGGAUAAGGAAAAUGUGGUCAGAAAGCUGGCAGAGCAUGGCUGGAUUCUCUGCUCGAGGUCUCACAUGCCCAAAAUCAAGGUAUUGGCCGGCUGGGCUCUUGUGUGGAGGCUCUGGGGAAGAACCAUUCAGGCUGUGGACAGAAGACAGCUCCUUGUGGCUAUAGGACUGAGAGCCCUGCUUCCCGCCACCGGCCCUUCAAGCACAAGCCCUCCAGGCCUCAAAUCUCUCUGCCUUCCUCUUCUGCUUGUAAAGGCGCAUGUGAUUUCACUGGACCCACUUUCAAAACCCAGGAUAACUUCCCUAUUUUAAAGUCCAUUUACCUUAAUUAAUCUGCACAGCCACUUUGCCAUGUAAAGUAACAUAUUCGUGGGCAUGAAACCAGGGGGUGAAGGUCAUGUGGCUUUGAGAGCAGCACUCUCGGUGACACAUACUCAAUUCUGCUCCUCCAGUGCAAAAGCAGCCACUGACAAUAUGCAAAGGAAUACAUGCAGCCACAACAUGGAAGAAAUACGUGCAUCAACAACACAUAGCAGCGUGUGUAUGUAUGUGCGUAAAGGCCUUGGAACACAGCUGAAGAAUACUUUUCAAAUCCUUCACUGUUAUUUCCUCUAGGGAAGAGAGUGGAGGCCGAGGCUGGGAAUCCAGGAGCUGUUCCCAUUUUAUUCUGCAUACUUCCCUAUCUUCUGAUGACUUCACAAUGUAACCAUUAAGAAAAAUAAAAAUUGCUCAUGCAUUUACAUAUAUAAAUAUUAAUAUAUGUAAAGAAAACCUUAACCAAUAAUGAUGAUUAUAUCUGGGGAGGAGGGAGUGUAAGGAACUUGCUUUCUAAAUUACAUAUUCCUGCGAUCUUUGCUUUUUUGUUACAAUGAGUCUCUAUUGUUGUGAAUAGAAAAAUAUGUAUACUUUUCAUUGUACUGAUGUCGAUGAAGGAUUUAUGUAAAAAGCCAGAUACUAAAUAUCUCCAAAGUUCAUCCAUUCUGGACUAAUGCUCAUGUUACAACUUUAAGUUAAAAGUGCAAGAGGCAGGCGGAUCCUUUGAGGUCAGGAGUUUGAGACCAGCCUGGCCAACAUGGUGAAGCCCCAUCUCUACUACAAAAAUUAGCCAGGUGUGGAGGCGGGUGCCUGUAAUCCCAGCU